rnacentral:rRNA from 1 species
UGUGUGAAUAUUGGUGCACAGUCUGGCCUGCCCCCUGAAGGUUUUAAAGGGCCGCGGUAUUUGAACCGUGCUAAGGUAGCAUAAUAAAUAGUCUUUUAAUUGAGGUCUAGUAUGAAUGGUUGGACAGGAAAUAAGCUGUUUUAAUUAUAAAAUUUGAAUUUUACUUUUAAGUGAAAAGGCUUAAAUUAAAUAGUGGGACGAUAAGACCCUAUAAAGCUUUACAUUUUUUUUUGUUAGUUGAGGAGGGUAAGGUUCUUUAUCUCUUAUUGAAUAAAAUGUUUUGUUGGGGCGACAAAAAUAUAAAAUAAUAACUGUUUUUUUUUUAAAAUAGAUUUUUUUAGGUGAAUUGAUCCUUUGUAGAGAUUAAAAGAAAUAAGUUACUUUAGGGAUAACAGCGUAAUUUUUCUUGAGAGUUCAUAUCGACAGAAAUAGUUGCGACCUCGAUGUUGAAUUAAGAUACCCCCCAGGUGUAGCAGUUUCGGAGGUAGGUCUGUUCGACCUUUAAAAUCUUACAUGAUUUGAGUUCAGACCGGCGUA